GGCCGUGGCUCAGCGGUAGAGCGCUCGCCUCACAUGUGCAGGGCCCUGGGUUCGAUCCUCAGCACCA
rnacentral:tRNA from 1 species